rnacentral:rRNA from 1 species
CAUUCUAGUUAGCACAUAUACAGUGAAACUGCGAAUGGCUCAUUAAAUCAGUUAUCGUUUAUUUGAUGAUACCUUACUACUUGGAUAACCGUGGUAAUUCUAGAGCUAAUACAUGCAUAAAAGUCCCAACCUCUGGAAGGGAUGUAUUUAUUAGAUAAAAAACCAAUGCCUUCGGGCUCUUUGGUGAUUCAUAGUAACUUAACGAAUCGCAUAGCCUUGUGCUGGCGAUGGUUCAUUCAAAUUUCUGCCCUAUCAACUUUCGAUGGUAGGAUAUAGGCCUACCAUGGUUUCAACGGGUAACGGGGAAUUAGGGUUCUAUUCCGGAGAGGGAGCCUGAGAAACGGCUACCACAUCCAAGGAAGGCAGCAGGCGCGCAAAUUACCCAAUCCCGACACGGGGAGGUAGUGACAAUAAAUACUAAUACAGGUGGUUUUAUGCCUCUUGUAAUUGGAAUGAGUACAAUUUAAAUCUCUUAACGAGGAACAAUUGGAGGGCAAGUCUGGUGCCAGCAGCCGCGGUAAUUCCAGCUCCAAUAGCGUAUAUUAAAGUUGUUGCAGUUAAAAAGCUCGUAGUUGAACCUUGGACCUGCCCAACCGGUCUACCUCACCGUAUGCACUGGUUUGGUCGGGUCUUUCCUUCUGGCAAACUGCAUGCCCUUCACUGGGUGUGUUUGGGAACCAGGACUUUUACUUUGAAAAAAUUAGAGUGUUCAAAGCAGGCAUUAGCUCGAAUACAUUAGCAUGGAAUAAUAGAAUAGGACGUGUGGUUCUAUUUUGUUGGUUUCUAGGACCACCGUAAUGAUUAAUAGGGAUAGUCGGGGGCAUCAGUAUUCAAUCGUCAGAGGUGAAAUUCUUGGAUCGAUUGAAGACUAACUACUGCGAAAGCAUUUGCCAAGGAUGUUUUCAUUAAUCAGGGAACGAAAGUUAGGGGAUCGAAGACGAUCAGAUACCGUCGUAGUCUUAACCAUAAACUAUGCCGACUAGGGAUUGGGCCAAGUUCUUUUUUGACUCGCUCAGACCUUACAAGAAUCAAAGCUUUGGGUCUGGGGGGAAAUGGUCCAAG